CCGAGUUAUCAACUCCCAAACCCCUGUGAACAUACCUGAACGUUGCUUCGGCGGGACCGCCCCGGCGCCCUCAUCGGCCCGGAACCAGGCGCCCGCCGGAGGACCCAAAGCUCUUGUAUUAUAGUGGCAUAUUCUGAGUCUCACAAGAAAAUGAAUC
rnacentral:sRNA from 1 species